rnacentral:rRNA from 1 species
GACGAACGCUGGCGGCGUGCCUAAUACAUGCAAGUCGAACGCAGUGGGGACGGGUGAGUAACACGUGGGUAACCUCCCAUCAGAGGGGAUAACACUUGGAAACAGGUGCUAAACCGAUACUGAUGGAUGGACCCGCGGUGCAUUGGCUAGUUGGUGAGGUAACGGCUCACCAAGGCCACGAUGCAUAGCCGACCUGGGGGGGGGAGAGGCCACAGUGGGAAUGAGCAACGGCCAAGACCCCGAGGGGAGGCAGCGGAAGGGAAUGUUCGGAAAGGGACGAAAGGUGGACCGAGCAAGGCGGGGUGAGUGAAGAGGGUUUUGGGAGGGAAAAACUAUGUUGUUAGAGAAGCGGUAUCUAACAAGAAAGCCACGGCGAACUACGUGCCAGCAGCGGCGGUAAUC